CCUACGGGGGGCUGCAGUGAGGAAUAUUGGUCAAUGGGCGAGAGCCUGAACCAGCCAAGCCGCGUGAGGGAGUACUGCCCUAUGGGUUGUAAACCUCUUUUGUCGGGGAGCAAAAGCCGGACGUGUCCGGCUGUGAGAGUACCCGAAGAAAAAGCAUCGGCUAACUCCGUGCCAGCCGCCGCGGUAAUACGGAGGAUUAGAGCGGUAUCCGGAUUUAUUGGGGUUUAAGGGGGCGGAGGCGGAUUUUUAAGUCAGCGGUAAAAUCGUGGGGCUCAACCCCAUCCAGCCGUUGAAACUGGGGAUCUAGAGUGUGCGAGAGGUAGGCGGAAUGCGUGGUGUAGCGGUGAAAUGCAUAGAUAUCACGCAGAACCCCGAUUGCGAAGGCAGCAUACUGGUGCACAACUGACGCUCAGGCACGAAAGCGUGGGUAUCGAACAGGAUUAGAUACCCUGGUAGUC
rnacentral:rRNA from 1 species